rnacentral:rRNA from 1 species
UAAUGUAUGGGGAUCUGCCCGAUAGAGGGGGAUAACGACUGGAAACGGUGGCUAAUACCGCAUAAUGUCUACGGACCAAAGCAGGGGCUCUUCGGACCUUGCACUAUCGGAUGAACCCAUAUGGGAUUAGCUAGUAGGUGGGGUAAAGGCUCACCUAGGCGACGAUCUCUAGCUGGUCUGAGAGGAUGAUCAGCCACACUGGGACUGAGACACGGCCCAG